rnacentral:misc_RNA from 1 species
CCAGUGUUCACGAGUGGGGCCUCUUGAAUUUCUGGCUUAAUGCAUUUCCUUUUAUAUAUAUAUAUAUUUUAAAAAGUGGCUAUUUGCAGUUGCACCUCGACCAAAAUACGCCGUAACUACGUUUAUAUGGAGGAUUUUUGGAUUUUCCUCACUUCGAAACGUCUCUUUCUGCUUUAAAAUCUCUAUCUUCCCACAAUUUCACUGAGAUCCCUAGAAUCUGUGUCCCACCCGCUUUUCACUUCCUCUCCUAAGCGCUGCUUUAGCCCCGAGGAAUCUUUUGGCAUGUGACGGCUCUCCAUCCCAUUUUUAUUACGCUUGGCGAGUUUGAACCUGCCUCUCCUCGCUGCAAUUUCUCUUCCUGUGUAAGACCUUGAUGUCAGGGUUGAAUGUAACAGAGGAUUUAUCAUUCUGUGCACUAAUCUCAGGUACCCAUCUCCACCCCUUAAUAUUGAAUCUUUCUUUAUGCGAGUUAUUGAAUCCAUUUUACAUACUAUUCUAUUGUCAAAUUCGAAGCAGUUUCCGGGUAAUCUUUAUUAAUUUUAUUUCUCUCCAAAUUUUUCCCAAAAUUUAUGUAUACCUAAUUGAGCUGUUGUUACGCCUCGCAGUUCAAGAAAAAAUGAGUAGAUUAUGAGCUGCCCAUGUUGUUCUCAGUUUUAUUUUCCAAUUUCACCGUUUGAGAUCAGAAAAAGGAAGUUACAACAGUCCAACGUACAGUUGCUGCCUGUUCUAGGUAUUUACUUGUGCUUCUUUUAUUCUUGAGGUUUCUGUGUUAUAGAUCGUUUUGUUUGGGCCUAUUGAAAUGCUUUUUGUUCGUUGUCCAUUGCUAAAUUCAGGCUUUCUUUGUAAAAUUAAUGAGUGAAAAAUGUUUGAGUUAUAAUACUGUGAUAGCUAAUUCAAUUAAACCCAUUAAUUAGCUUCUGUGUUCCUGAUCUUUUAAUUUGAAACGAAAUUAUUGUGAUGGAAGAUCCAAAAUUUAAAUUAAUCUAUACCCUUUUUCUUUUAAAAUUUCUGAGGAUAUUAAAAUUUAAAUUAAGUCUUUUUGCCAAGAGAACUGAAUGGUUGGAUAAUAUUAAAAUUUACUUAAUUCAAUUAUUCCAGUCAAUUAUUCCAGCACACACUCAAGAUUAGAUAAUGGUUGGACGAUGAAGUUUUGGAUGCUGGAUCACAAUAGGAAUUGCAUUAUAAAGAAAGUUACAAUAAACAAAAUGAAAAUUGUUCUGCUUUUCUUCUUUAUAAAGAAAUAUAGCUAGAAGUGGAAAACAAUUGAAAUUAUGAGUGAAAGAUAGUAGAUAAAGACCCUAGGCAAGUACUGGGCCUGCUUCACCAGGCUCAAGUAUU